ensembl:lncRNA
CCUCAUCCCCACCCAGAUGCAGAGCUACUCUGUUCAGGAGGAUGACGAGCUGCGUCCCCCUCUCCUGUCCCCCAGGACUAGACCAUCCCGAGGGGGCCAAGGGGGUGUCCUCAGCCACCUGCCUCUCCACUCCCAGCAGCUAGCCAGGACCGCCAACCUGCUGAUCCCCAUUGGGGGGAUCCACAUGGUACAGCCCAGGACCAGUCCACUCUACAGCUUGGUGACUAGCCCUGUGGCAGCAAAGGACACUCCUACUCCGGCAAGGAUGGACCAGUCCAUGACAGCCCAGAACACCCCUACCCCUUCAGAGAUGGACCGGUCCAGGAUCAGGAGAGCUGGACUGGACGAAGUGCCACUUAGUUGGCCUUCAUCAUUGAAGGACCAUCAGAACAGUCUGAAAGAGGCUGCUAGGCCUAGCACUAGCAUGCACACCAGUUACCAGGGCAACAGGGUAGGAGAGGGAGAGGCCGGGGCCAAGUGCAGACAGUCAACACCUCUCCCAGACAAGGCAGGUAUGGCCCAUGUACACGUGUGCACCAUGAGACCAGAGAAUCAUGGGAGUUUGAGUCGAAGGGAAGAGACUAAACUACUGUUCACUGGGACAGAGGUAGCAGGCAGCUCACACACUACAGGCACCCGGACAAGCACUUUGUCCAAGGGAACCACACCCACAGAAAGAGAUACAGAUACACACUUUAGAGAAGGAAGUGUUUUUCCAGUGACUACCCAAGGCCAAAAGGCGCUGCCUUCUUUCCAGACUAAACUCUGAUAGGAAGGAGCACCUUUAGGGAACAGUGUAACAGACUUGUCUUGGGGACAUCUGAUAUGGCAACGUAUUUCCUACAUAGGGGAUACGGUGCCAUUUCAGAGACAGCCAUGAUCGCAGAGCUAGAAACAAUUCUGGUUUUGAGACUGAAGAAGACAAAAGGAAUCCAAGAAGAGCACUCGGGAGUGUGAUUAUGUAAUUAUAUGAAUAAUAUAUAGAUAUGUUGAAUAUGCAGUAUAUGUUUUGUAAUCUUUUUUUACUCCCUUCGUUUGGUUAAUGGCAUUGCUGUUAAUGUAUUAUUGAUGUGCUCUUAUGCAAUUCGGUACUAUCCUCUGUGAGAUCUGGAAUGAAAUGUAGAUAAAGAUUUUAUUUAGUCAAUCUAUUCCCCCGUCGACCCCUUUGAUAACUCUAUAAUACAUUAUACUGCUCUUGCUGUUUUUAUACUGUACGAUGUACAGGUGUAAGGUCUUCAUUUGACAUAUAUUGUCACAGCAAAAUGAUCCUGCAGCAACAGGAUUUGAACGUUUAGACUAUAAUGUUGCUUGAUCGGUGGGUGGGCUGGUCAGAAGGAGGCUACAUGAAAAGUACAAUACUGUUACUAUAACCGUUUGUUAGUGUGGGGUUACAGUGAAUUUAUGUCAAUCAAAAAAGCUCAUCUGCAUUUCCUGCGGUGCAGGGAAAGUCUCGGCAACAAAAGUGUGGUCAAAUGAAGAUCCUACUCCUGUACAACCAAAUAUAGAAAGGUACUAGACAUCUCACCCUGACCAGUAUUUUGAAGUGCAAUUUCUGUCAAGAUUGUGGCUUGGAAUGUUAUUCUUAAUGGCUGUGAUUUUUUUGUUGAUUUAAAAGCUGGAAUCCUUGAUGGUGAAACCACCACGUCCGUGUGCGAUAUUACAACAACAAAGGAGUUACUGCAAACAACCAACACUGUUGUUUUUCCCUCGAACAUCAUUGCACGUGCGAUAGAACAGCAGAAUUUACAACGGUGGGCCGACGCUCCUCACCUCCGCUUCAUCAACAAAACUAAAACAACGGCCAAGGGGCAGACAGUGGCACCGUUUUCCAUACUGUGGAUUCCAUAUUUAAAGAUGGUUCAUUUUUUUAUAUGCUGCCUGGCUGUUUUGAAGAAUCAGGGUUAGAAUAAUAUCUUAUUUUCUACUAUCUCGUUGAGAGUAAAUCUUGGAAUAGGAACACGCGUUCGGGGUAGAAAAGCUAACUCCACUCAUUGAAUAUUCAUACAAAUAUAUCUUGUUUUGAUCAUCUGCUGUACAUGAUGCAGUCUAUAUUUAUUGCCAUAAACACAGUAAUAACAGGUCGUUUUUAUAAAGGAAGCAGUUUCCAUAUUUGUCGUUUUCAUGUGUCUUUUACCAUUAAAAUGAGUUUUUACAGAUUUAUAAUGAAA